rnacentral:rRNA from 1 species
AGCGAACGCUGGCGGCAGGCCUAACACAUGCAAGUCGAACGGGCACCUUCGGGUGUCAGUGGCAGACGGGUGAGUAACACGUGGGAACGUACCCUUCGGUUCGGAACAACCCGGGGAAACUCGGGCUAAUACCGGAUACGUCCGCAAGGAGAAAGAUUUAUCGCCGAAGGAUCGGCCCGCGUCUGAUUAGCUAGUUGGUGGGGUAAUGGCCCACCAAGGCGACGAUCAGUAGCUGGUCUGAGAGGAUGAUCAGCCACAUUGGGACUGAGACACGGCCCAAACUCCUACGGGAGGCAGCAGUGGGGAAUAUUGGACAAUGGGCGCAAGCCUGAUCCAGCCAUGCCGCGUGAGUGAUGAAGGCCCUAGGGUUGUAAAGCUCUUUCGGCGGGAAGAUAAUGACGGUACCCGCAGAANAAGCCCCGGCCAACUUCGUGCCAGCCGCCGCGGUAAU